rnacentral:rRNA from 1 species
AGCAGUCGCCGCGGUAAUACGGAGGGUGCAAGCGUUAAUCGGAAUUACUGGGCGUAAAGCGCACGCAGGCGGUUUGUUAAGUCAGAUGUGAAAUCCCCGAGCUUAACUUGGGAACUGCAUUUGAAACUGGCAAGCUAGAGUCUUGUAGAGGGGGGUAGAAUUCCAGGUGUAGCGGUGAAAUGCGUAGAGAUCGGGAGGAACAUCAGUGGCGAAGGCGGCCAUCUGGGACAACACUGACGCUGAGGCACGAAAGCGUGGGGAGCAAACAGGAUUAGAUACCCCUGUAGUCCCUGUCUCUUAUAC